rnacentral:rRNA from 1 species
UAGAUACCCCUAUUAUACCAGUAAGUAAUUAUUAUAAGCCUAAGUAUUAAUAGUUAUUUUCUAAAAAUUUGAAAAAUUUGGCGGUGGUUCAGUCCUGUCAGAGGAACCUGUCUUUAAAACGAUACACCACGAAAUAUUUUACUUAAACUGAUAAAGUAUGUAUACCAUCAUUAUUAGGUAAUUUUUAUAGAAUAAAUUACUAAAGACUAGCAGGUAAAGCUAAAUAUAUUAGAUCAAGGUGCAGCUUAUGUUUAAGUUAAGAUGGGUUACNAAUAAUAUUUAUUUAUUACGGAUAGGUGAUUUAAAUAUUGCCUGGAAGGAGGAUUUGAUUGUAAAAAUAGUUUAGCAUGAUAUUUAGAUAUAGGCUCUGAAGCAUGUACAUAUCGCCCGUCGCUUUCAUUCAUAAAAUGAGAUAAGUCGUAACAUAGUAGAUGUACUGG